UACCACGGAGUCUAGCAUGUGUGCGAGUCAUUGAGUUGUAUUAAAUAACAAAACUGAAAGGCGCAACGAAAGUGAAGGCGGACGCUCGCCGUCCGCUCAGGGAGGAUGGAGCCGAGGUCUCGAUCGAGGCUCUCGCACUCCCGAGGCGUCUCGUUUCCAAUCAGUGAAUGCAGGCGCGCUCUGAGCACAGAUGCUGGGACCCGAAAGAUGGUGAACUAUGCCUGGUCAGGUCGAAGUCAGGGGAAACCCUGAUGGAGGACCGUAGCGAUUCUGACGUGCAAAUCGAUCGUCGGAACUGGGUAUAGGGGCGAAAGACUAAUCGAACCAUCUAGUAGCUGGUUCCGUCCGAAGUUUCCCUCAGGAUAGCUGGCGUCGAUGUUUGAACAGUCUCAUCCGGUAAAGCGAAUGAUUAGAGGCAUUGGGGCCGAAACGACCUCAACCUAUUCUCAAACUUUAAAUGGGUGAGAGCUCCGGCUUACUCGAACGAUGAAGCCGGAGAUCUGAUGACGGUGCCAAGUGGGCCAAUUUUGGUAAGCAGAACGGCGCUGUGGGAUGAACCAAACGUAGCGUUAAGGCGCCUAAAAAACGCUCAUGGGACACCAUGAAAGGCGUUGGUCGCUCAUGACAGCAGGACGGUGGCCAUG
rnacentral:rRNA from 1 species